rnacentral:rRNA from 1 species
UACGGGGGGGGCAAGCGUUGUUCGGAAUUACUGGGCGUAAAGGGCGCGUAGGCGGCCUGCUAAGUCGGACGUGAAAUCCCUCGGCUCAACCGAGGAACUGCGUCCGAUACUGGUGGGCUUGAAUCCGGGAGAGGGAUGUGGAAUUCCAGGUGUAGCGGUGAAAUGCGUAGAUAUCGGGAGGAAUACCUAUGGCGAAAGCAGGCUACUGGACCGUCACUGACUCUGAUCUGCGAAAGCUAGGGGAGCAAACAGG